UGGAGAGUUUGAUCCUGGCUCAGAUUGAACGCUGGCGGCAGGCCUAACACAUGCAAGUCGAACGGUAACAGGAAGCAGCUUGCUGCUUUGCUGACGAGUGGCGGACGGGUGAGUAAUGUCUGGGAAACUGCCUGAUGGAGGGGGAUAACUACUGGAAACGGUAGCUAAUACCGCAUAACGUCGCAAGACCAAAGAGGGGGACCUUCGGGCCUCUUGCCAUCGGAUGUGCCCAGAUGGGAUUAGCUAGUAGGUGGGGUAACGGCUCACCUAGGCGACGAUCCCUAGCUGGUCUGAGAGGAUGACCAGCCACACUGGAACUGAGACACGGUCCAGACUCCUACGGGAGGCAGCAGUGGGGAAUAUUGCACAAUGGGCGCAAGCCUGAUGCAGCCAUGCCGCGUGUAUGAAGAAGGCCUUCGGGUUGUAAAGUACUUUCAGCGGGGAGGAAGGUGWURAGGUUAAUAACCUCAKCAAUUGACGUUACCCGCAGAAGAAGCACCGGCUAACUCUGUGCCAGCAGCCGCGGUA
rnacentral:rRNA from 1 species